CAGCACCUCAAGUGGUCAGGAUGAUUAUUGGGCCUAAAGCAUCCGUAGCCGUCGCUGUAAGUUUUCGGUUAAAUCUGUACGCUCAACGUACAGGCUGCCGGGAAUACUGCAGCGCUAGGGAGUGGGAGAGGUAGACGGUACUCGGUAGGAAGGGGUAAAAUCCUUUGAUCUAUUGAUGACCACCUGUGGCGAAGGCGGUCUACCAGAACACGUCCGACGGUGAGGGAUGAAAGCUGGGGGAGCAAACCGGAUUAGAUACCCGCGUAGUCC
rnacentral:rRNA from 1 species